rnacentral:rRNA from 1 species
UACGAAGGGGGCUAGCGUUGUUCGGAAUUACUGGGCGUAAAGCGCGUGUAGGCGGGGCCUUAAGUCAGGGGUGAAAUGCCAAGGCUCAACCUUGGAACUGCCUUUGAUACUGGGGAUCUUGAGUCCGGGAGAGGUGAGUGGAACUGCGAGUGUAGAGGUGAAAUUCGUAGAUAUUCGCAAGAACACCAGUGGCGAAGGCGGCUCACUGGCCCGGAACUGACGCUGAGACGCGAAAGCGUGGGGAGCGAACAGG